rnacentral:tmRNA from 1 species
GGGGCCGAUUAGGAUUCGACGCCGGUAGCGAAACUCUAGGUGCAUGCCGAGUUGGUAACAGAACUCGUAAAUCCACUGUUGCAACUUUCUAUAGUUGCCAAUGACGAAAACUACGAGGGCUACGCUCUCGCUGCGUAAGCAGCUGAGCCCGCUCUCCUGGUAGCUUCGGCUCCAGCAAUCACCAGGGGAUGCCUGUAAACCCGAAGUGAUUGUCAUACAGAACAGGAUCGUCGUGUAGCACGUUGGGGGCAAAGCGACUAAAACUUACCCAACUCGUCCAAAGCACCCUGCCCGUCGGGCGGCU